CCUACGGGUGGCAGCAGUGGGGAAUAUUGCACAAUGGGGGAAACCCUGAUGCAGCAACGCCGCGUGAAGGAAGACGGUUUUCGGAGUGUAAACCUCUGUUUUUAGUGAAGAAUAAUGACGGUAGCUAAGGAGCAAGCCACGGCUAACUACGUGCCAGCAGCCGCGGUAAUACGUAGGUGGCAAGCGUUGUCCGGAAUUACUGGGUGUAAAGGGAGCGCAGGCGGGAAGCCAAGUCAGCUGUGAAAACUAGGGGCUCAACUUGUAGACUGCAGUUGAAACUGGUAUUCUUGAGUGAAGUAGAGGUUGGCGGAAUUCCGGGUGUAGCGGUGAAAUGCGUAGAUAUUCGGAGGAACACCGAUGGCGAAGGCAGCCUACUGGGCUUUAACUGACGCUGAGGCUCGAAAGUGUGGGGAGCAAACAGGAUUAGAUACCCUAGUAGUC
rnacentral:rRNA from 1 species